rnacentral:rRNA from 1 species
ACUCCUACGGGAGGCAGCAGUGGGGAAUAUUGCACAAUGGGGGAACCCAUGACUGCAGCCAUGCCGCGCUGUGUGAAGAAGGCCAAUUCGGGCUUUGGUUAAAGACACUUUUCAGCGAGGAGGAAAGGGUGUGUGCUAAUACCAUACAUUCUUGUGACGUUACUCGCAGAAGAAGACACCGGCGUAACUCCGUGCCAGCAGCCGCGGUAAUACGGAGGGUGCGAGCGUUAAUCGGAAUUACUGGGCGUAAAGCGUGCGCAGGCGGUUUGUUAAGCGAGAUGUGAAAGCCCCGGGCUCAACCUGGAGUUGCAAUUUCUGAAACUGGCAAGACUAGAGUCUUGUAGAGGGGGGUAGAAUUUCAGGUGUAGCGGUGAAAUGCGUAGAGAUCUGAAGGAAUACCGGUGGCGAAGGCGGCCCCCCUGGACAAAGACUGACGCUCAUGCACGAAAGCGU